rnacentral:rRNA from 1 species
GAUGAACGCUGACAGAAUGCUUAACACAUCAGCAAUUGAUUGGUGGCGGACGGGUGAGUAACGCGUAAAGAACUUGCCUCACAGCUAGGGACAACAUUUGGAAACGAAUGCUAAUACCUAAUACUGUGAGAGAGCUUUGCGUCCCAUUAGCUAGUUGGAGAGGUAACGGCUCACCAAGGCGAUGAUGGGUAGCCGGCCUGGGAGGGUGAUCGGGCACAAGGGGACUGGGACACGGCCCUUACGCCUACGGGAGGCAUCGGUGGGGAAUAGUGAACAACGGGCCAAAGUCUGAACCAGCCAUUCUGUGUGCACGAUGAAGUUUUCGGAAUGUAAGGUGCUUUCAGUUGGGAAGCGGUACCAACAGAAGAAGCGACGGCUAAAUACGUGCCAGCAGCCGCGGUAAUAC